rnacentral:tRNA from 1 species
GCAUUGGUGGUAUAGUGGUGAGCAUAGCUGCCUUCCAGCAGUUGACCAGGGUUCGAUUCCCAGCCAAUGCG